ensembl:lncRNA
ACUUGGAGAUUAUCUCCUUUGGAGUGUUUGGUGAGCCUUAAUCCUUGGAAAGGGCUUUGUCAUGGCACUUUUUACUCAGCAUUUCUCAGUUCAGCAUGGGUGUGAUGGAAGCGUCAAACAGUACCAUGACCUCGUCCUCCAGAAGACUGCUGGCUGGGUGUGUGGAUGUGCAUGGCCUGAAGAGCAGAAUCACCACAGUGAGGUGGGACCUAUAGGUGGAGAAGGUCUUGUGCCCUUCUUCGGAUGUUUGAUUUCUCAAGGCAGCCAGGGUGGUAAUGUAAGACACAACCAGGAUGAAGAGACGGCAUGGAGCUAUCACUCUGCUGUUGACAACAGUGAUGCUCAUGGUGCAGGUGCCAGCACAGGCCAGUUGUAGAAGGGGUUGGCCAUCACAGAAGUAGUGGUCAGCUUUGUUGGAACCACAGAAGGGGAACUGAGUGGUUAUAAGAGUCUGCAUGCUGGAGUGCACCAAGCCUCCUACCCGUGAACCGAUCACCACGCAGCCACACGCACUUCCAGUCAUGAGGGUGGUGCAGAGGGAAGAUCUGCAGUUGGCCAUGCAGCAACCACAAGCCAUCACUGUGAGGAUGAAGAUCUCCAUGCAAAGAAGUCUCAAACCUUUGUACCUCAAACAGCUGCGCUCUGCAGCCCACAGUGGCAUUAGUUUUAUUUUCAACAAGGAAGCUGGCAGUCAUUCUGGGAAAGGACAAACAGCAGGGGAAGAAAUACACGUGAAAAUUCAGAUGUUGACUGCUAAUCACAGUGAUAAUAGUAUUUCCUACCACAUUGGUUGCAUAGAAGAAAAGGAAAAUCACAGAGUAUGCUUUCUGCAUGAUUUGAUUCUCUGAGAGGCCCAUAGGAAUGGAUUCCUUUGCACUGCUUGCAUUCCCCAUGUUAAUCAGUUGGGUAGCCACAUGCAACACACAGCCUAUGCACAUAGAAUAAUAAAGAUACUGAUUCAUCACUGAUGUCAUUAUUAACGAUGAAUUCUAUACCAGAAGUGCACGCAGGCUGUAAAGUACAUAGGAUUGCUACUAAGCUACAAAGUGAUUGCUUUCCAAUUCUUUUUUUUUUUCUAGGAAUUUAAUCUGCCUUGAAGGAAACUUAAUUGAGAGUAACUGUAAGUGUAUUGAGACAGGAGUGCUCUGUGCUCCCUUUCUCCACCCUGACCCUCCAGGAUUUUGAAGGACUGUCUCUAUGGUUGUUGUGCUAAGGCAAGGCCAGUGUGUUCACCUCAGUCACAACCAGGGUACAGAGUGGAUCAUGCAGGAUACCUCCCUUCACCUUAGACCAAGUCCAUGAAUACAGUACUUGCAAAAAUAGUGUCUUCAGGAGUACCUGGAAACAUUACUUGGAAUGUUGAUAUAUUUUAUAGUUACAAAUAAUCUUUGAAUUGAUGUUUAGAGGGGAAAUGAAGCUACGCCAGGGAAAAAAAAAAUCUCUCUUAUGCAUAUACAUAUUGAAAAAAAUUGUGAUGCCAUGGGCUAAUAAAUGAUAUCAGGGAAGUUGUAUGCCAUGGAGAAAACAGCAAGCAAUGUAUUUAGUCAUGUAUGACUUCAGUGUUUAUCUUGUCUUAAAUCUCAGCAGGGCUAGUUGGUGAGAAAGGAAGAAUGAAAGGAUCAUUUCAAAUAGUCUGUUCCAGCACAGUAUGAAUCAUUACUGAUUUCUUAUGCACUCUGGGGGGAUAU